CGAUUCUUUCUGGUGUUGGAUUCUUUUCUGCACUCGGUUUCAACUGCUAGAAAUGACUGUUCCCUCUACUCUGCCUGGCGAGGACUCUCCUGCCUAUUCAAGAUCUGCACGUUUCCUGCUGGCCCAUUUUGCUGUAAAGAAGACCCUGAACCCUAUGGAAGAAGAUGAAGCAUUCCCCAUCCAUAAGCCAGACGGAAGACCACCCCAGUGUACAGUCAUUGGCAACCCACCCAGGCUAUUCUGGGAUAGCUCUAAUCCAAUAAUAAACUUCUCAAAAAUAGAACUAAGUGGAAGACACACCAAAUAGU
rnacentral:lncRNA from 1 species